AUGAGGACCAUGUGUUGGAACUGCCACGGAAUUAGCGAUCCCGCGACAGUUAGGGAGCUCCGCGAUCUCGUGGAGGCGUGUGCGUCGUUGAUCCUUUGCAUUGUUGAAACUCAGCUUGCGAAGGCUCGAGUGGAGGGUUUGGCUGGUUCUUUAGGCUUUUCAGGCAGCUUUGCAGUUCCUAGUAGUGGUCGUAGUGGUGGUUUGUGUAUUUUUUGGAAGGAUCAUGUUAAUCUUGCAAUAAAUAAUUUUUUGUAGUAUCACAUAGACCCAUGGAUUACACAGCUAGGUGUUGAUGCUUGGUGUUUAACUUGCUUCUAUGGUCAAGCUAAUAGAAGCCUGUGACAUAAUACUUGGGAGACGAUGAAGAGGCUAAGAGGGGAGAGCACACUCCCAUGGGUGUGUAUUAGAGAUUUUAACGAAGUGUUGCGCCCGGAGGAGCAUAUGGGUACUAACGCCCGAGAUAGUGGUCAGAUAGCAGGGUUCAGAGAAGUCGUGGAUAUAUGUGAGCUUGCUAACCUUUGGUACAGAGGACUUGACUGGACGUGGGAAAAGAGAGUAAGAGGGGGCGAGUUCUGCAGAGUGCGUUUGGAUCGUGCGUUGGCUAGUCCUAGCUGGUCGACACUAUUCCCGUUUGCAUCUCUUGAGCACCUCACAGCAGCCAAAUCAGAUAAUUGCCCUAUUCUGCUUAAUACAGAGUUGGAGACAACAAGCAUGAGACAUGUUCUAAAAAAACCUUUCCGAUACGAGUGUAUGUGGGAGACAAAGGAACAUUUUCAUCAAGUUGUGGAGGAAUCUUGGAACCGUAAUCAACCUUCCAUGUCAGUCUCGGACCUAGCUUCGAAGCUCAACUCAGUUGUUUCCGCGCUAGCUUGGUGGGGGCGUCGUUCUUUUGGUUCAGUCCAACAGGAGCUUCGCUCCUUACGACGACAGCUGGCCGAUCUGCGGGAAGUGUGGGGUCGAGUAGGACCAAGUGAGGAGGAACUGUGA
rnacentral:rRNA from 1 species